GCAAACUUGGUCAUUUAGAGGAAGUAAAAGUCGUAACAAGGUUUCCGUAGGUGAACCUGCGGAAGGAUCAUUAACACGUAUCCACGUAUCAACCCCUCUGCGAACACGUAAACGUAAGGUUGGUCUUAGUUCAGCAACUCGCAUAGACCUCAACGAUGGAAGACUUUUGUUGACGCUUGCCUUUCACGGGUGGCUGAGACUGAGUCUUGAGGUCUGAGUUGUUGGGUGUUUGACGACUGGCCGCUAUUUUCCCAUCGUUAGGUAUUCAUAACCCAUUUUUAACCCCUUUGUACUUCUCUGUACUGAACCAAUUCCUUCGAGUUCUCUUCGCAAGAAGACUUGAACACGAAAGAUAUUACGAAACUAAAGAACAACUCUUAGCAACGGAUAUCUUGGUUCCCGCAUCGAUGAAGAACGCAGC
rnacentral:misc_RNA from 1 species